GGCAGGCAAUGCUUAAUAACUAUGCUCUGAAGAUCAAAUCUUGGUUUCCUUGAUCAUUUCAUGAUGUCCAUCAGCUGGGGAAUGAUUGAAUAUGAUGAGUGAAUAUAAAUGAAGGAAAAGGGGGAAUAGAACAAGAAAUACGAAGAAGGCUUCUAUGAACUGGAGCAAAAUGAGAACAUUGUGCCCAGUUGUGUAACAAUGAUCACCGUGGCUACUUUGAUUGAUACAAUGGUACAUGAAAAUUCCAAAGAAACCAUGAUGAAAAAUGAAGGGAGAACUGAUGAACCCUGAAGAUGGAUGCAAUCGUUGACAGCAAACACUUGCUUAGAAUUUGAUAAUAUCAGCAAAACAUUUUUCCCCUACAGCCAAAACUUAUUGUAAAAGUGUACACAGCAAAUAAAUAUAAGAGUAAUAUCCGUUUACCAAGUAGGAUUCUCCAAGGGAAGAACGAAGUGACGUGGGAAUAAAUUCAAAUCUCCAAAGAAGCAGAACAUCAGUAUCCAGACUAUGCUUUAAGGAGAAUGAAUUCAUGCAAGGAAGGCAGGAGAAUUCCAGCUUAAGAAAAGGUAAUCUUCAAUGAACAGAAGAGAAAUACUAACUUUGUACUGAGGCAAGAACUUUCUUUGAAAGCAGAGGUACAUGUGAGUAAAGACAUGCAUAAAAAAGUAACUUCUUGAGUGUAAAAAUGAUGAUGUAAAGUCUCAGCUCUUUUCAACAGGCCUGAGAACCUUUAGUUAAUAUCACCUUGUUUCACAUUUUACAAGAGCUUUGAGCUAAAAUGAUCAAGAGAGCUCUGAUUGGCAAUGACCCAUCUCCUUGAUUUCUAUGUAGUCACCUGGAC